AUUGAACGCUGGCGGCAGGCCUAACACAUGCAAGUCGAACGAGUGGCGGACGGGUGAGUAAUGUCUGGGAAACUGCCUGAUGGAGGGGGAUAACUACUGGAAACGGUAGCUAAUACCGCAUACCAUCGGAUGUGCCCAGAUGGGAUUAGCUAGUGGGUGGGGUAAAGGCUCACCUAGGCGACGAUCCCUGGCUGGUCUGAGAGGAUGACCAGCCACACGGGAACUGGUACACGGUCCGGACUCCUAGGGGAGGCAGCGGUGGGGAAUAUUGCACAAGGGGCGCAAGCCUGAUACAGCCAUGCCGCGUGGAUGAAGAGGGCCUUCGGGUUGUAAAGUACUUUCAGCGGGGAGGCGUUACCCGCAGAAGAAGCACCGGCUAACUCCGUGCCAGCAGCCGCGGUAAUUC
rnacentral:rRNA from 1 species